GAAAGGUGGGGAAUGGACCUGAGACCAGGGGUUGGAAAACUGCAGCUCCGGAGCCACAUGCGGCUCUUUGGUUCUCAUCCACAUGAGCAUGGGCUUCAUGAUACUCGCCCUGACCCUGUGUCUCAUCCUCCUUCUCAUCAUGGGCCUCUCCUUCCGGCCAGUCUUCCGCCGCCUUAACAAGAUAGACCUUGUCUUCAGUUUCCUCAGCUUCAGCAUUGGAGCCCUGAGUUACUUAAACCAUGCGGGCAUGUGGAGCGAAAGGACCAUCUCCUUGGAGUGGCAGGUGAGCUUUCGCAGGUGGACCUUGCAGCAGAGCUCCCUGAGAGGCUCGUUCAAACAGCGGUCAGAUGCAGA